rnacentral:lncRNA from 1 species
CCGCCGAGGGAAGGCAGCCGCCUACAACUCCCAGGAGCACCGAGGGAGGUGGAGCGGGAGGGAGGCGCCUGCCCCUUCCGCGCCGCUCUGCCCGCCGGGAGUUGUGGUCCUGCCGCCGUUGUGGCCGCUCCGUGGAGGCUGGCACGGGACUCGGUGUCCCGGCGCGCCGCGGGCCGUGGGCGGAGGGGCCGAGGUGGGAAAGGCGGCAAGGCCGGCAGCUGCUGUGGACGGUGUUGGGGCUGUGCGGUGUUUGUUGGGGAGGCAGCAGGAAGAGUUCCAGAGUCUGUUUGAGCCACAGCAGGAUGGAGGAGCCCACUGGGAACCUUCCCAUCCGGAGAGACAUCCUCCUUUCCGAGUUGUGCUGUGAUCACGUCCCCGUACCCAGCCUGGUGGAAGUGCUGAGAUCUUUGGUGGCUUUAACUGACCCUCAGGAGGGGAAGCUGACUCAGUCUCAAGAGAAAGCACUAAACUGGCUGUGCAUUUGGAAAACUAUAUUUAGAGUUGUUCCUGGGCCUACAUCAAAGACCUC